GAGAGUAUAACUCAGUGGUAGAGGGUGUGCUUAGUGUGUAUGAGGUCCUGGGUUUGAUCCCCAGCACUAUUA
rnacentral:tRNA from 1 species